UCCUAGAGCUUGAGAGCCCAUAAAGUGA
rnacentral:piRNA from 1 species